GACACAGGGUCUCACUUUGUCACCCAGCCUAGAAUGCAGUGGCACAAAGAUAGCUCACUGCAUAGUUGAACUCCUGGGCUCAAGAAAUCCUCCCACCUCAGCCUUUCUAGUAGCUGGAACCACAGGAAUCAGUCUGGACAGAGCUUCAGGAGCUCAAUAGACUCUGAGCUAAUGUUGUUCAUUCAGAAUCUGCAUCUUCAGACUACAAAGGGGCCCAUCAAUUUUAUCUCAGACCUGGAGCAGCUGUAUUCAAUUAACACUGUGUCACACAACCACCCAUUCUGGGACCAACCCCCAUCCUUUGUCUCCACUGAGACUUGCCUUCACUUGGAGAAAGGCCUGCAAACUCGUCAUUUAUCAGACAGACUCAGCUUUGAUAGAAAACUUUAGCCACAGAACUUGCUAUCAUAUCUGUGGGAAAUGUUCCAACCCUAAAGAUGUGUGGGCUGAUUAAAAUUUUUAUUACCCCUUAAAAAUUGAAGAUUGAAUUUAGUACAUACAGAAGCUAAGGGUAUCUUAUUUGGUUUUAAAUUUGACUGACGAAGACCUCUAGCUUCUAAGCUCCUAGUUUUUUGGAUUAACUUUUCAUACCAUAAAACCACUUAAUCAUGAAAAUGGCAGAGUUAACAUUCACACUCUCAGUUCAGAUGCUGUGAAGAAAAAGGUUGUUUCAGCCACAGGAUUAGAGGGGCAAGUACGUGGACUAGGAGUACACACAUUCUUCUUGCUUCCUGAGAGGCUCACUUAAAAUCUCUUUUGGGAAGAGAUUCCAAAUCCAAACUCCCAAGCAGAGCCUGUCUCCUCUGGGCAAUAAAGGGUGGGAUUAACUCUAGCCCCCUCAUCCUUUCCCCUUUUAUCUCAUCUUUGGUGGCCUGUGGCUCUUGUUACCCUCCCUCACUCACUAAGUCUGCUUUUCAUUAAGAAAUAUGCUGUCAAACAAUUAUACCUCAAGAUAGAGAAAUAUUUGAACCAAAGAAUCUAGGAGCUAAAAGAAAAAGCUGGUAGUAAGAUAUUCAAUAUAUUAAAAAGAAAUAGAAACUCAGUGAGAUGUGGUUCCAUUCCCUGAGAAUACCCAACAUGUCAGCUUAGGACAGAAAUGUGAUUAAAAGGCAAAUUUCCUGAGUCCCAGACUAGAACUCUGUAUUAAAGCUAUGAUUUACAACAAUGAGAAGUAGGUUUAAUUUAGUCCAUACACUAAGCCCAAUAUAAUUUGCAUGAUGAAGGAAAAUAUUUUUAAAAAGUAUUCAUGUGAGAAUAAAAUGGAGAAAUGUAUUGGGCCUUUAAACUUGUUUAAACAUCUUUUUGGGCUAUUGUAGACAGAAUUCUUAGAUGUCUCCCGAGAUUUCUGCUCCCACCCCCUGGUGUACUCAUCUGUAUAAUCCUUAAUCUUUGAAUGUGGGUGUGAACAUGAUGUGACACAACUGCCAUAAUUUGCUUACCUUAUAUGACAAAGCUUAAUGGAUCUCACAGAUAUAAUUAAGGUUCUAAUCAAUUGACUUUGUGUUAAUCAAAAAGGGUAUUUUCUUAGUUGAGCACAACCUAAUCAGGUGAAUUGUUAAAAGCAGUCAGAUAAACCUAAAGGGAAGUUCUCCUGCUGGUCUUGAAGGAGCAACCACAAUGAGUUCUACAGGUUCAAGAAAAAUAAUUCUUCCAACAAACAUGUGAGGCGGGAUGAAGACCCAGAAUAUCAGAAGAGACAGUAGCCCUAGCCGAUACUUUGUGAGAAUUGGAGCAAAGGUCCCAGGCAAGCCUUGCCCAGACACUUGACUCACCUAAACAACAAGAUAAUUAAUGGAUGUUGUUUUAACCACUAAAUUUAUGACAAUUUAUUAUACAGAAAUAGGCAACUAAUGCAGAUUUUGGUAACUGGAAGUGGGGUGCUACCGUAAUGAAAACCUAAAAAUGUAGGAGGAGCUUUGGAAUUACACAGUGGGGAGAGACUGGAGGAAUUUUGAAGAGUAUAACAGAGAAAGCUUUAAUUGCCUUGAACAGAUUGUCAGGAGAAAUGUGAACUUUGAGGGUGCUGUUGGUGAAGUCUUAGGAGGAGGUGGUGAACAUGCAUCUGGAAACUAGAGGAAGGGUCCUUGUCAUUAGGUAGUGAAAGAACGCUUAGUGAAAUUAUCUCCUGUACGUAUGUGGAAAGCAGAAGCUCUAAGUGAUGAGCCUGGUUUUUAGCAAGGGGAUUUCCAAGCUGCUUUGUGGUUUCUUGCUGCUCAUAGUAAAAUGUGAGAAGAGAGCGAUAAAUUGAGAGAAGAACUGUUAAAAAAAAAAAAAAAGUAGGACUUUACCAUUUUGAAAAUUUGGCCUGUAGCAGGUUUUGUACAACCCUGAGCUAAAAAUGUUCUUUAUAUUUUUACAAAGCUUCCAGAGUAGUUUCACUAAUUACCAAUCCUGAGGGAGGAAUCCCACUGCAUGGAGAAGAGCUAAGAUCAUCACUAUGCCAACCGCCAGGAAUAGGAGUCCAGACGUGUCUGUCCAGUGCAUCUUGGGCUACAGUUUGACCAAUAGCCUGAGUUUGGCAAGAGAGAACAUAUUCACACACAGCAAGUUAUAUGAAGUGGGUUCAUAUACAAAUAGGCAUCAAGGGAUAAAAGGAGUCUCAGGUCCAUUGUGAGCUGGUCCUUUCUCCACCAGAUUCAAGAAAGCUGCUGGGGUGGAUGGAGGAUCAAUUACAUGUGCCCCUCUUGCACCACAGCUGAAGGACCCUGACAGAGAGCCAGUCCUGGGUUAUAUACUUCAGGGGCAAUAUGAAUCACUGGGCAAAGCUUGAAAGGAUAUCAUGCUUCUAGGGUAGGGAGGAACAAAUGAUAGGCCAUCCCAGUCAGUUCCUCCUUAAAUCAAGAUGUAUUCCGCCAGGUGCGGUGGCUCACGCCUGUAAUCCCAGCCCUUUGAGAGGC
rnacentral:lncRNA from 1 species